CCUACGGGGGGCUGCAGUGGGGAAUAUUGGACAAUGGGCGAAAGCCUGAUCCAGCCAUGCCGCGUGUGUGAAGAAGGCCUUCGGGUUGUAAAGCACUUUCAGUGGGGAAGAAAGCCUUGGGGCUAAUACCCUCGAGGAAGGACAUCACCCACAGAAGAAGCACCGGCUAACUCCGUGCCAAGCAGCCGCGGUAAUACGGAGGGUGCGAGCGUUAAUCGGAAUUACUGGGCGUAAAGCGCGCGUAGGCGGUCUGAUAAGCCGGUUGUGAAAGCCCCGGGCUCAACCUGGGAACGGCAUCCGGAACUGUCAGGCUAGAGUGCAGGAGAGGAAGGUAGAAUUCCCGGUGUAGCGGUGAAAUGCGCAGAGAUCGGGAGGAAUACCAGUGGCGAAGGCGGCCUUCUGGACUGACACUGACGCUGAGGUGCGAAAGCGUGGGUAGCAAACAGGAUUAGAUACCCUUGUAGUC
rnacentral:rRNA from 1 species